GAUUGUGUACUUUAUUAAAAGACUUAGUUUGCACCUAAGACUAGGGAUCAUACCCCACAACCAC
rnacentral:tRNA from 1 species